rnacentral:rRNA from 1 species
UACGUAGGGGGCACGCGUUGUCCGGAUUUAUUGGGCGUAAAGAGCGUGUAGGCGGCCUGACAGGUCUGCUGUGAAAACUCGAGGCUCAACCUCGAGAUGUCGGCGGAAACCGUCUGGCUAGAGUCCGGAAGAGGAGAGUGGAAUUCCUGGUGUAGCGGUGAAAUGCGCAGAUAUCAGGAAGAACACCUAUGGCGAAGGCAGCUCUCUGGGACGGUACUGACGCUGAGACGCGAAAGCGUGGGGAGCGAACAGG